GCAAAACCGAUGAUGGAACAAAGAUUCUGCAAGUCUUCAGAGAGCCGGUGGAUGGUGCAAACCGGUGGCGGACAGAACUCUUUAGCGCUCCUGAGAUAUUGUGUCGAACCUUACAGUAGGCACAAUCGGAUCAUCUCCGUUACCAGUGUGGCCUUUGCAGGCCAAUGAGGCUGCUACUUCAACAGUUGCAGUGAAUUAGGGUGGUACCACGACAACUCUCGUCCCUUAC
rnacentral:ncRNA from 1 species